GAACUUGUCGAGGUUAACUCCCGCCGGAUGCGUCAUCUGGACUCCUCCGCCGCCGCCGCCGUUGUCUCCGCUGCUGCUGCGGAAGCGGGAGAAUGAGCUGGAAAACAGAUCGUUCAUCGAGAAUCAAAAAUCAAACUUAAAAGUCGAGAGGGAUUCAGAUCGUAUUCGAUUAAGAGACUUAAUAAGGAAGGGAGAAAGUCGUACUGAUUCAACCACACGGUUUGGUGGACGACGGAAGAAGGUCAAAAGAGGAGAGGAGAGAGAAAGUCAAGAAGGAGGACUUGGUGAUUGACUUGGAAGCUUCGUAGUGAUGGCGGAGAAGGAAAGCUGAUAGUGAAAACGUGUAGCGUUCAAAUAUGGUAAGCAUAAAAAACCAGAGCGGAGAAAUUAAUUGUCAUUGUUGGGCCCAAAUUUAAGCCUACAUUUAAACAGGCCUGGGUUCAUUUAUGUCUUUCACCCAUUAAAAAUUUAAAUUUCGAGGGUUUUUUUUAAAAAACAAUUUGAAUU